UACGAAGGGGGCUAGCGUUGUUCGGAAUUACUGGGCGUAAAGCGCACGUAGGCGGAUUGGUCAGUUAGGGGUGAAAUCCCAGGGCUCAACCCUGGAACUGCCUUUAAUACUGCCGGUCUAGAGUCCGAGAGAGGUGAGUGGAAUUCCGAGUGUAGAGGUGAAAUUCGUAGAUAUUCGGAGGAACACCAGUGGCGAAGGCGGCUCACUGGCUCGGUACUGACGCUGAGGAGCGAAAGCGUGGGGAGCGAACAGG
rnacentral:rRNA from 1 species